rnacentral:sRNA from 1 species
UUGCAUCUGAGGCCAGUGAGGAUGAGAACCUCCGGGGGCAGGAGGUUCGACUCGAGCGAAGCGAGAGAACGUUGCCGCAGGCAACGGCCCGAAGGGCGAGCCACGAAGUGGUGAGUCAUCCUCUAUCACCGACCA